rnacentral:rRNA from 1 species
UACCUCAGUAACGGCGAGUGAAGCGGUAACAGCUCAAAUUUGAAAGCUAGCUCUUUUAGGGUUCGCAUUGUAAUUUGUAGAAGAUGCUUCGGGUGUGGCCCCGGUCUAAGUUCCUUGGAACAGGACGUCAUAGAGGGUGAGAAUCCCGUAUGUGACUGGGUGCUUUCGCUCAUGUGAAGCUCUUUCGACGAGUCGAGUUGUUUGGGAAUGCAGCUCAAAAUGGGUGGUAAAUUUCAUCUAAAGCUAAAUAUUGGCCAGAGACCGAUAGCGCACAAGUAGAGUGAUCGAAAGAUGAAAAGCACUUUGGAAAGAGAGUUAAACAGUACGUGAAAUUGUUGAAAGGGAAGCGCUUGCAACCAGACUUGCGCGCUGAUGAUCAUCCGGGCUUCUGUCCGGUGCACUCGUCUGCGCUCAGGCCAGCAUCGGUUUCGGUGGUGGGAUAAAGGCCUUGGGAAUGUAGCUCCUCUCGGGGAGUGUUAUAGCCCUCGGUGCAAUGCCGCCUACCGGGACCGAGGACCGCGCUUCGGCUAGGAUGCUGGCGUAAUGGUUGUAAGCGACCCGUCUUGAAACACGGACCAAGGAGUCUAACAUCUAUGCGAGUGUUUGGGUGUCAAACCCAUACGCGUAAUGAAAGUGAACGGAGGUGAGAACCCUUAAGGGUGCAUCAUCGACCGGUCCUGAUGUCUUCGGAUGGAUCUGAGUAAGAGCAUAGCUGUUGGGACCCGAAAGAUGGUGAACUAUGCGUGAAUAGGGUGAAGCCAGAGGAAACUCUGGUGGAGGCUCGCAGCGGUUCUGACGUGCAAAUCGAUCGUCAAAUUUGCGUAUAGGGGCGAAAGA